AAGUCGUAACAAGGUCUCCGUUGGUGAACCAGCGGAGGGAUCAUUAAAGAGUUGCAAAACUCCCUUUAAACCAUCGCGAACGUUACCCACGACGCCGUUGCCUCGGCGGAGCGUCGCCCCGUGCUUUUGACGGCACGGGGCGGCGCCCGCCGGGAGACCGGCACAACCAAACUCUUAUAACCAUUGGCCUCUCUGAGUAAGAUUUUUAAAUAAGUCAAAACUUUCAACAACGGAUCUCUUGGUUCUG
rnacentral:misc_RNA from 1 species